CCUACGAGAGUCAGCAGUGGGGAAUAUUGGGCAAUGGAGGAAACUCUGACCCAGCAACGCCGCGUGAAUGAUGAAGGUCUUCGGAUUGUACAGUUCUUUUCUAAGGGAAGAAGAAAGUGACGGUACCUUAGGAAUAAGCCUCGGCUAACUACGUGCCAGCAGCCGCGGUAAGACGUAGGAGGCGAGCGUUAUCCGGAUUGACUGGGCGUAAAGGGGGCGUAGGUGGGUUGGCAAGUUCGUAGCGUAACUCCAAGGCUCAACCGUGGAACUACUACUAAAACUGUUGGACUUGAGUGCAGGAGGGGCAACCGGAAUGCCUAGUGUAGCGGUGGAAUGCGUAGAUAUGAGGAAGAACACCAGUGGCGAAGGCGGGUUGCUAGACUGUAACUGACACUGAGGCACGAAAGCGUGGGGAGCAAACAGGAUUAGAUACCCGGGUAGUC
rnacentral:rRNA from 1 species